rnacentral:rRNA from 1 species
UACGUAGGGUGCGAGCGUUAAUCGGAAUUACUGGGCGUAAAGCGUGCGCAGGCGGUUUUGUAAGUCAGAUGUGAAAUCCCCGGGCUCAACCUGGGAACUGCGUUUGAAACUACAAGGCUAGAGUGUAGCAGAGGGGGGUGGAAUUCCACGUGUAGCAGUAAAAUGCGUAGAGAUGUGGAGGAACACCGAUGGCGAAGGCAGCCCCCUGGGCCGAUACUGACGCUCAGGCACGAAAGCGUGGGGAGCAAACAGG